GAUGAACGCUGGCGGCGUGCCUAAUACAUGCAAGUCGAGCGAACGGACGCUGCGCUUGCUUCUCUGAUGUUAGCCGCGGACGUGUGAGUCACACGUGUAUCCCCCACCUAUAUUACUGGGAUAACUUCGGGACACCGGAGCUAAUCCCGUAUAAUCUUUUGAACCGCGUUGUUCAAUAGUGAAAUACGGUCUUGCUGUCACUUAUAGCUGCAUCCGGGCUGCAUUGGAUAGUUGGGAAGGUAACGGCUUACCAAGGCAACCAUGCGUAACCGACCUGAGAGGGUGAUAGGCGACACUGGAACUGGGACACGGUCCAGACGCCUACGGGAGGCAGCAGUAGGGAAUCUGACGCAACGGGCGAAAGCCUGACGGAGCAACGCCGCGUGAGUGAUGAAGGUGUUCGGAUCGUAAAACUCUGUUAUUAGGGAAGAACAGAUGUGUAAGUAACUGUGCACAUAUUGACGGUACCUAAUCAGAAAGCCACGGCUAACUACGUG
rnacentral:rRNA from 1 species